rnacentral:lncRNA from 1 species
CCACUUUCUUCUCUGCACAGCACAGUGCCCCGCAGCUGCAGUCAAUUUCAAAUUCAAUUUUCCCUUCCCCCAAAUCCAAUUCUUGAUUUCCUUCAGUCAAACCCUUCUUGAGUUCUACUUCUUCCCCCAAAUCCGAUUCCUUCCCGGCAUGUGUGAGCGUGUCCAAUUGGUACGAAUUACGAAAUACGAAUUGUGAAUUUGUGAUAUGAUUUCAAUUUCAAUUUUCAAGUAUAACGUUAAAUUGGGGCAUGUUUACUGUUUAUGAUUAAUUGUUGUUGUUUUUUUUUUUUAGAAAUUUGUUAUGCUCUCUCUUUCUCCCUCUCCCUCUCCCUCCCCGCAGCCUGCGCAUUGGUAAAUUUUUAAGGUUUUGAUUUUUGAAUUGCUUCAAUUUAGGCUUACAGCUUACUGUUUGGGAAUUUUGUUGAAAUUGGUUUUAUUGUGAUGUUUUUAAUUGUGCGGUUUGGAGAUUUGCAGUAUUUUGAAGUUUUAUCUGUAAUAGUCUCGUCCUUUUGAGUUUGAUUUAAGUUUUUAUGUAUUGGUUUUAUUGUGAUUUAAGUUUUUAUAAAGUGUUUAUGGCUUUUAAUAAAUGGUGGAAACUGGAAAGUAAAUAAGUAAUGGGAGAAACGGUUUUGAUAAGACGAUAACGAAAGUUGGGGCUUUUAAUAAAUGGUGGAAAGUUGGAAAGUUUUUAUGCUUGUUAAUAAAUGGUUGAAUUCUUGAUUUUUUAAUCAAUUUUAAUUGAAAAUUAAAUUGGGUUGUCUAAGUUUACAAUUACAAAGUAAGGCUGUAUUGUAUAUUUUUUUCAGCAUUUUGGAUUGUAUUGAACUAUAUUUUCAUAUGUAUAUAAUUUCUACGUUUUAGUGCAUUUACAUAUAUAUUGAAUAAUUUUUAAUAUUAUUUAAUCAAAUUCUAAUAAACAGUCGGCCGCCGAUCGGAUCGGGCUUUUACGAUCGUUAAUUGUCGAUGGUUAAAGUCAACCUCCGCUCUAACUAAAGAUUUAUGCUGGAUUCGCCCCUAACUACGAGUCAUAUGAAGUUAAUGAUCAUGGUCACAUAAAGAGAUUUUAUAGUUCAAUAUCAAACUACUCAAAAAUCAAUGUAUCUUGAAGUUACAAAACUAAUUUUUAAAAGUCACAUGAAGUCGUCAACAGUGAAACAUUUUUGGAGUUUUGCUAACAACAUAACCUGAUUUCAAAAAUGUUGGAAGAAAAUGGGUCGUCCAUGACCCGACCCGAUUUGCAUGGAAGUGAAUUUUGGAGGGAGGGGUUGAAAAUUGAAUUUAAAAGUUAACCUCUCGACCACCCAUAACUCCCAUCAACUUCCAUUAUUCAUUCUUCUAAAAAGCAAAAAAAAAAAAAAAAACAAACAAACAAACAAAACAAAACAAAAAAACAAAACAAAACAAAAAAUUCGGGUUAAGGGAGUGGAAGAAAAAUACAUGAGGAAAAAAGCUUGAUAUUUUGGAAGAUAACAUCUCAAAUUGGGAUCUUAGAUUGUAAACAACAAACUUCUUCCUUGGUGAUCGAGUUUUGACCAAGAAGCGGGUACAAGGCGAUGUUGGAGGCAAGUAAUUCUA